AACCUAAUCUAAAUUCAUUUUGAUUUAGGUUUAACUGGACAUCUAUUUAUGAGCCCAAAAAGAUGGAUCAAGCCAAUUAGUUGGUAAAAAAAUCUUCUUAUCUUCUCCCUUGAUUUUUCUUUUGUGGCAAUGAUUAAUUGGAAAGAAAGAGGCAUGCCUCCUUUUUUGGAAAGAUCAAGGGCGCAUAUUCUUGGAGUGGGCGAAUGAAAGAAAGAGGGGCCCACCCCUCUUUUGUUUGGGCAU
rnacentral:lncRNA from 1 species